GCGCUGGAAGAGGAGUCCGCGGCCGAUUAGCUAGUUGGCAGGGUAAAAGCCUACCAAGGCAGAGAUCGGUAGCCGGCCUGAGAGGGCACACGGCCACACUGGCACUGAAACACGGGCCAG
rnacentral:rRNA from 1 species